AUUGUACGCUGGCGGCAGGCUUAACACAUGCAAGUCGAGCGGGGUGAUGGUGCUUGCACUAUCACUUAGCGGCGGACGGGUGAGUAAUGCUUAGGAAUCUGCCUAUUAGUGGGGGACAACAUCUCGAAAGGAAUGCUAAUACCGCAUACGUCCUACGGGAGAAAGCAGGGGAUCUUCGGACCUUGCGCUAAUAGAUGAGCCUAAGUUGGAUUAGCUAGUUGGUGGGGUAAAGGCCUACCAAGGCGACGAUCUGUAGCGGGUCUGAGAGGAUGAUCCGCCACACUGGGACUGAGACACGGCCCAGACUCCUACGGGAGGCAGCAGUGGGGAAUAUUGGACAAUGGGGGGAACCCUGAUCCAGCCAUGCCGCGUGUGUGAAGAAGGCCUUAUGGUUGUAAAGCACUUUAAGCGAGGAGGAGGCUCUUUUGGUUAAUACCCAAGAUGAGUGGACGUUACUCGCAGAAUAAGCACCGGCUAACUCUGUGCCAGCCGCCGCCGUAA
rnacentral:rRNA from 1 species